rnacentral:rRNA from 1 species
CCUACGGGAGGCAGCAGUGAGGAAUAUUGGACAAUGGGCGCAAGCCUGAUCCAGCCAUGCCGCGUGCAGGAAGACGGUCCUAUGGAUUGUAAACUGCUUUUGUACAGGAAGAAACACUCCCUCGUGAGGGAGCUUGACGGUACUGUAAGAAUAAGGAUCGGCUAACUCCGUGCCAGCAGCCGCGGUAAUACGGAGGAUCCAAGCGUUAUCCGGAAUCAUUGGGUUUAAAGGGUCCGUAGGCGGUUUAAUAAGUCAGUGGUGAAAUCUGGUCGCUCAACGAUCAAACGGCCAUUGAUACUGUUAGACUUGAAUUAUUAGGAAGUAACUAGAAUAUGUAGUGUAGCGGUGAAAUGCUUAGAUAUUACAUGGAAUACCAAUUGCGAAGGCAGGUUACUACUAAUGGAUUGACGCUGAUGGACGAAAGCGUGGGGAGCGAACAGGAUUAGAUACCCUGGUAGUCCACGCCGUAAACGAUGGAUACUAGCUGUUCGGAGCAAUCUGCGUGGCUAAGCGAAAGUGAUAAGUAUCCCACCUGGGGAGUACGUUCGCAAGAAGAGAAUAAUAGAGUAGAGNGNGAGAGNGCGAGAGACACGAGGGAGGAGG